AAGAUUUUAAGUUAAACAAAAAACUAAUAAUUUUCAAAAUUAUAAAUAUAAUUUAUAUAAAUCUUA
rnacentral:tRNA from 1 species